AUGCAAAGGAGCACAAAUAUUUUGCUUAUCUGGUCUCGAUAAUGAUGAGAUGUAUUUCAAUCAUGAGAUUGCCAAGCUGGCAGCAUAUAUAUCCACCAUGGAAUUCCAUUCUUUGUUAUGGAGGGCUGCACGACCUUAUCUGUUGGUGGAUUACUUUGAAGAUGUCACUCAAGAGACGGUCCAAUUGGAUGAUGAAAAUUGCUCAAGAAAAAUCAUCCUAAAAGGUUACCUUCGAGGUUGUUACAUCGAGGAAACAACUAAGGUGCAUAUUGCUGGAGUUGGCGAUUUU